CCUACGGGAGGCAGCAGUGAGGAAUAUUGGUCAAUGGGCGGAAGCCUGAACCAGCCAAGUCGCGUGAGGGAUUAAGGCCCUGCGGGUCGUAAACCUCUUUUGCCGGGGAGCAGUGGUCCGGACGUGUCCGGGCCGGGAGAGUACCCGGAGAAAAAGCAUCGGCUAACUCCGUGCCAGCCGCCGUGGUAAUACGGAGGAUGCGGGCGUUAUCCGGAGUUAUUGGGGUUAAAGGGUGCGUAGGCGGGAGUUAAAGCCGGCGGUCAAAUGUCGGGGCUCCACCCCGGCCUGCCGUCGGGACGGGUUGCCUUGAGUGGGCGAGAAGUAGGCGGAAUGCGUGGUGGAGCGGUGAAAUGCAUAGAUAUCACGCAGAACCCCGAUUGCGAAGGCAGCAUACCGGCGCCCUACUGACGCUGAGGCACGAAAGUGCGGGUAUCGAACAGGAUUAGAUACCCCUGUAGUC
rnacentral:rRNA from 1 species